GUGGGGAAUCUUGCGCAAUGGGCGAAAGCCUGACGCAGCCAUGCCGCGUGAAUGAUGAAGGUCUUAGGAUUGUAAAAUUCUUUCACCGGGGACGAUAAUGACGGUACCCGGAGAAGAAGCUCCGGCUAACUUCGUGCCAGCAGCCGCGGUAAUACGAAGGGGGCUAGCGUUGCUCGGAAUUAAUGGGCGUAAAGGGCGCGUAGGCGGACAGCUUAGUCAGAGGUGAAAGCCCAGGGCUCAACCUUGGAAUUGCCUUUGAUACUGGCUGUCUUGAGUUUGGGAGAGGUGGGUGGAAAUCCGAGUGUAGAGGUGAAAUUCGUAGAUAUUCGGAAGAACACCAGUGGCGAAGGCGACUCACUGGCCCAAUACUGACGCUGAGGCGCGAAAGCGUGGGGAGCAAACAGGAUUAGAUACCCCAGUAGUCC
rnacentral:rRNA from 1 species